rnacentral:rRNA from 1 species
GACGAACGCUGGCGGCGUGCUUAACACAUGCAAGUCGAACGGAAAGGCCCUGCUUUUGUGGGGUGCUCGAGUGGCGAACGGGUGAGUAACACGUGAGUAACCUGCCCUUGACUUUGGGAUAACUUCAGGAAACUGGGGCUAAUACCGGAUAGGAGCUCCUGCUGCAUGGUGGGGGUUGGAAAGUUUCGGCGGUUGGGGAUGGACUCGCGGCUUAUCAGCUUGUUGGUGGGGUAGUGGCUUACCAAGGCUUUGACGGGUAGCCGGCCUGAGAGGGUGACCGGCCACAUGGGGACUGAGAUACGGCCCAGACUCCUACGGGAGGCAGCAGUGGGGAAUAUUGCACAAUGGGCGGAAGCCUGAUGCAGCAACGCCGCGUGCGGGAUGACGGCCUUCGGGUUGAAAACCGCUUUCGCCUGUGACGAAGCGUGAGUGACGGUAAUGGGUAAAGAAGCACCGGCUAACUACGUG